rnacentral:rRNA from 1 species
GAUGAACGCUAGCUACAGGCUUAACACAUGCAAGUCGAGGGGCAGCAUGAACUUAGCUUGCUAAGUUUGAUGGCGACCGGCGCACGGGUGAGUAACACGUAUCCAACCUGCCGAUGACUCGGGGAUAGCCUUUCGAAAGAAAGAUUAAUACCCGAUGGCAUAGUUCUUCCGCAUGGUAGAACUAUUAAAGAAUUUCGGUCAUAGAUGGGGAUGCGUUCCAUUAGCUUGUUGGCGGGGUAACGGCCCACCAAGGCAGCGAUGGAUAGGGGUUCUGAGAGGAAGGUCCCCCACAUUGGAACUGAGACACGGUCCAA